AUGUCAGUCUUAGAUCCACGACACCUGCUUCUUGGCCUGGCCGCGGCGGCGUCGGCACAGCUGUCGGCAACGUUCUAUGAUGCAUCCUGCCCGAGCGCGCUGGCAACGAUCAAGAGCGGCGUGACGGCGGCGGUGAGCAAGGAGCCCCGCAUGGGGUCCCUGCUGAGGCUUCACUUCCACGACUGCUUUGUCCAAGGAUGCAACGCGUCGGUGCUGCUUGCCGACACCGCCAACUUCACUGGUGAGCAGACCGCGUUCCCCAAGGUCAACUCCAUCAGGGGACUCGACGUCAUCGACGGGAUCAAGGCGCAUGUCGAGGCCGUCUGUGCACAGACCGUCUCCUGUGCCGACAUCCUCGCCGUCGCCGCCCGAGACUCCAUCGUCGCCCUAGGAGGGCCAUCAUAUACGGUUCCGUUGGGGAGAAGGGACUCCACCAGCGUGAGCCUCUCGAAGGCAAACAGGGACCUCCCUCCGCCAACCUCCGACCUCGCUGAUCUCGUCGGCAACUUCUCCAGGAAAGGGCUCAGCGUAACCGACAUGGUUGCACUGUCAGGUAAUUAA
rnacentral:rRNA from 1 species